rnacentral:rRNA from 1 species
UCCUUGUCGGGUAAGUUCCGACCUGCACGAAUGGCGUAACGACUUCUCAACUGUCUCAACCAUAGACUCGGCGAAAUUGCACUACGAGUAAAGAUGCUCGUUACGCGCGGCAGGACGAAAAGACCCCGGGACCUUCACUAUAGCUUGGUAUUGGCGUUUGGUUCGGUUUGUGUAGGAUAGGUGGGAGACUGUGAAGCAGGCACGCCAGUGUUUGUGGAGUCAUCGUUGAAAUACCACUCUGAUCGUAUUGAACCUCUAACCUCGGACCGUAUAUCCGGUCCAGGGACAGUGCCUGGUGGGUAGUUUAACUGGGGCGGUUGCCUCCCAAAAUGUAACGGAGGCGCCCAAAGGUUCCCUCAACCUGGACGGCAAUCAGGUGUUGAGUGCAAGUGCACAAGGGAGCUUGACUGCGAGACCUACAAGUCAAGCAGGGACGAAAGUCGGGACUAGUGAUCCGGCACCUCUGAGUGGAAGGGGUGUCGCUCAACGGAUAAAAGGUACCCCGGGGAUAACAGGCUGAUCUUCCCCAAGAGUCCAUAUCGACGGGAUGGUUUGGCACCUCGAUGUCGGCUCGUCGCAUCCUGGGGCUGGAGCAGGUCCCAAGGGUUGGGCUGUUCGCCCAUUAAAGCGGCACGCGAGCUGGGUUUAGAACGUCGUGAGACAGUUCGGUCUCUAUCCGCCGCGCGCGUCAGAAACUUGAGGAAACCUGUCCCUAGUACGAGAGGACCGGGACGGACGAACCUCUGGUGUACCAGUUGUUCCACCAGGAGCACGGCUGGAUAGCUACGUCG